GAUGAACGCUGGCGGCGUGCCUAAUACAUGCAAGUCGAACGAGUGGCGGACGGGUGAGUAAUGUCUGGGAAACUGCCCGAUGGAGGGGGAUAACUACUGGAAACGGUAGCUAAUACCGCAUCCCAUCGGAUGUGCCCAGAUGGGAUUAGCUAGUAGGUGAGGUAACGGCUCACCGAGGCGACGAGCCCUAGCUGGUCUGAGAGGAUGACCAGCCACCCUGGAACUGAUACACGGUCCAGACUCCUACGUGAGGCAGCAGUGGGGAAUAGUGCACAAUGGGCGAAAGCCUGAUGCAGCCGUGCCGCGUGUAUGAAGAAGGCCUUCGGGUUUUAAAGUACUUUCAGCGGGGAGGCGUUACCCGCAGAAGAAGCACCGGCUAACUCCGUGCCAGCAGCCGCGGUAAUUC
rnacentral:rRNA from 1 species